rnacentral:ncRNA from 1 species
AUAAAGUUUUAUUCUGGUUUUUUAGUUUAAUUUAUAGAAUUUUUUAUAUGCUAAUUUUUACGAACAUAGGGUAUUUUUUAAAUAGAAGUAUUUUUUAUUUAUUUAGUAAUAUUAAAUUGCAAUAUUGAAUAUUAAUUAUUAAUGAUAGUUAGAGUUAGUUACUUAUAUUAGUAUUAACAAAAUUUGUGCCAGCAGUUGCGGUUAUACAAAUGAUACAAUUAAAUUAAAUUAGUUUAUAAUUAGUAUGUUAAUUUAUAACUUAUUAUUAUUUUUAUUAGGUGAAAUUUUUAAUUUUAAUAUACUUUAUUUAUUUUGAAUUUGAGGUUAUGAGAUUUUUUAUAAAGACUAGGAUUAGAUACCCUAUUAUUAAAAAUGUAAAUUUUUAAACUUGAUUAGUAUUAGAUAUGUGCUUGAAAUUUAAAGGAUUUGGCGGUAUUUUAGUCUAUUCAGAGGAACCUGUUCUGUAAUUGAUAGUCCACGAUUAAUUGUACUUAUUUUAAAGGUUUGUAUAUCGUCGUAGUUUGAAUGUUUUAAGAGAAUUUGAAUAUUCAAGAUUUAUAAUUAUAAAUAAAAUCAGAUCAAGGUGCAGCUUAUAAAUAAGAAGAAAUGGGUUACAAUAAAAAUAUUUAAAUGGUUAAAUUAAUUAAAUUUAUUUUAUAAAGUGGAUUUGACGGUAAUAUAAUUUAUAUAAGUUAUAUGAUUUUAGCUCUAAAAUAUGUACAUAUCGCCCGUCACUCCUGUUAUAAAAUAGGAUAAGUCGUAACAAAGUAGGCGUACCGGAAGGUGUGCCUAGAUAGUC